GAACUUCGCGCCGAACCCCACUACCGGUCAGUCAGCAUGACGUCACUAAUCGAUUUUAUUAUUAUUUUUUAAAUCUGCGGCUGGUUUCUGCAGAUCAAAAUGUUACGAAGCCUCAGCGAGAGUGGAAAAGCUCGAGACUGAUCUUUGUUCCACACCUUUAGCUCAGCCAAAUAGCCCAGAGGUAUGUUACACAGUAAUAAAUUUUUCCCAUGAAGAAAAAGUUUUCUAUUUUAUGCAUUGGCGCCCGCAAAUGACGGCUCGAUUGAAGGCGAUUUCGGUUUCGGUUUCUGACUGCGCAAAGCGCCACCUGUUUCCUGCAGCAAGUGUCAUGGCGACUUCCUGUUUACCUUUCUGGCUCCAACGCGUGCUUUCAACUUCCAAACUUCUGCGCUGUUCUCCGUGACAUUGUGAAAUCUAUAUGGAUUUAUACGUGGUGAUCAUAUCUAGUACCAUCCGGAACAUCGAGCAUCAAUAUUUGAUACGCGACAAUUUGGCUACUGGUCGUCAGCAGGAGGGAUGUGAACGUUGCCAUAGUGGUUGCUAGAAAAGGAAUGGUGCUUUCUUGUUGCCUCUCAUUGUCGUCCGCUAUUCUCUCUCGCGAUAUGUUUUGUGGUGAAGCAAAACGGCGAGUCUGCGUCCAUUCUGACAAUUUUUAAAAAAUUCUACAAAGUAUAUCAACACAAUACAAUAACACCAUAAGCCAGAUAGUUGCCAGUGUGUCAAAAAAAGUAUGGAGAUCAAUCACCGAGAAGUUUCAAAGAAUAAGGAGUGAAAACAUAGAAAAAUGUAUAAGUGGGGGUGUCGCACCACCCAUAUACACACAAAUGCGAAUAUACCACAUCAAAGUCCAAGUGCCAAAUUGCCAGACAAACCUUUUUUUUUUCUCAAUUCAAUUCUGCCAAAGACAGCAUCUGAAUAGAACCACCUCCUCGCCUUUGUCGCCAAUAACCGAGACCAUUAAUCUUUUCAAGCUGCCAUGCAUAACAUUGUGUAAUGUACAUGUAUUAACAACUCUCCUCUGUAACACUGGCAUUGAGAGUAAGUUAAAUAAAUAAAUGACUCGUGUUCAGGCACAUGCACUUUGGUGAUGCAGUCAAAUUAAAAUUGGGUGCUUGCACUUGAUUGGAAAGUUUAAUUAUAGUGAUUUUUGUUUUAAGUGAGAAAAUUUAUGUUGAGCAUCUGCCGCGUCCUUGGACGUCAGCUUGUAAGUCCGCUUCACUGUGCUGCGUGCUUCCUUGGGGCAAAGGAAAGAUGCAGCGGCCACACGAGUGGUAAGAUCGUAUGCUGCUUUGUGUAUUUCCAUGUUUUCACAAGCAUUCAUCGGCUUUCUGCAGUGCUACCGAUCCACCAUGUUUCAGAUGGUUUGUUCAGAAAUAUACUGUUACAGUAUAAUAAAAGUACAUAAACACUGGGGAUACACUUUUUAUUCUUUUUUGCAGCUCCCAUAAAGGUGAUUCGCACAGAUCAUGGCUUGAAGCCGUCUGCUGCUUCAGUUUCUUACGCUUGGAUCUUCAGCAAAGGUGAACUUUGCUCGGGAGAUUGCGGCGCCGAUCGAGCGCACAAAUAUUCCGCAGGUCAUCCUUUGGCCGCAUCCCUUGGAAGCACAUAAAAUAAGCAUCGUGAAUGAUGAGUCUACUGCUUCCUUGUCAUACUUUAGGUGGAGAGCCUGUAAAAAAAAAAAGUUAUAGAGUGAUAAAUAUCUAAAAGGACGGUGCCACCUUACAAUUACGGUGCUGAAGUGCGUGCCAACAAAUGCUGCACUUAAGUGCAAGGCUCAUUCUUAAAAGGUGUUAAGGGCCGGUUACACUCUUAAGUCAAAAGCUAAGUAUAAAGUUGGUUCUUGAAUGUGGCAGUUAGUGAUGAGAAAAAAAAAAAAA
rnacentral:lncRNA from 1 species